rnacentral:rRNA from 1 species
GGCUCCCUGCCCACCUUAAUAUAGGGAGUCGGACCUGCCCAGUGACUAUUUUAGUUAAACGGCCGCGGUACCCUGACCGUGCAAAGGUAGCAUAAUCAUUUGCCUUUUAAUUGAGGGCUAGUAUGAACGGUUUAACGAAAACUUUACUGUCUCCUUAAAAAUAUUUAUAAACUAACCUAUAGGUGAAGAGGCCUAUAUACAACUAAGGGACAAGAAGACCCUAUCGAGCUUAAGUGAACUUUUUAGAUAAAUUGUAAUCUAACUAUUACUAAUACAAUAUUUUGUAAUCACAAUCUAAAAACAACAUCUUUAGUUGGGGCGACUGAGGAAAAAUAAAAACUUCCUCUAUUUUUUAAAACUAUACUUUUCUAGAUCCAGCAAUUUCUGAUCAAAGGAAAAGUUACCGUAGGGAUAACAGCGCAAUCCUUCUAGAGAGCUCUUAUCGAAAGAAGGGUUUGCGACCUCGAUGUUGGACUAAGAUAUCCUGAAGGUGCAACAGCUUUCAACGGUUGGUCUGUUCGACCAUUAAAAUCUU